CCUUCGAUAGCUCAGCUGGUAGAGCGGAGGACUGUAGAGGCGACGCCCCACGGAAAUCCUUAGGUCGCUGGUUCGAUUCCGGCUCGAAGGA
rfam:Charadrius vociferus contig37082, whole genome shotgun sequence.